GACGAACGCUGGCGGCGUGCUUAACACAUGCAAGUCGAACGGAAAGGCCCUGCUUUUGUGGGGUGCUCGAGUGGCGAGCGGGUGAGUAACACGUGAGUAACCUGCCCUUGACUUUGGGACAACUUCAGGAAACUGGGGCUAAUACCGGAUAGGAGCUCCUGCUGCAUGGUGGGGGUUGGAAAGUUUCGGCGGUUGGGGAUGGACUCGCGGCUUAUCAGCUUGUUGGUGGGGUAGUGGCUUACCAAGGCUUUGACGGGUAGCCGGCCUGAGAGGGAGACCGGCCACAUUGGGACUGAGAUACGGCCCAGACUCCUACGGGAGGCAGCAGUGGGGAAUAUUGCACAAUGGGCGGAAGCCUGAUGCAGCAACGCCGCGUGCGGGAUGACGGCCUUCGGGUUGUAAACCGCUUUCGCCUGUGACGAAGCGUGAGUGACGGUAAUGGGUAAAGAAGCACCGGCUAACUACGUG
rnacentral:rRNA from 1 species